CUCCUGUCAGAGUGACACAAAUUCUUUCAGUCCAUUGCCUGCGACGCGCACACAUCGGGACCUGGACAGGGGGGGGCGAGCGAAGGCGGCCGACACAUAAUCCACUCAUAAAGAUCCAGCUGUGCUUCCAGCUCUUCCCAAGCGAGACCCCGCCAUCCAACAUGUCCGACAGCGCCAGCGAAGCAUUAGCGCCGACCGUGGAGGAAGGGAGCGCGGCGCCGGCGGAGAAUCCCUGCGCCGAACUCAAGGUCGCCAUGGAGAAAUGCGCAGCAGAGAAAGGGGAAGAUAACUGCCAGGAGCUCAUCCAAGCCUAUAAAGAAUGUAUGAAAGCCAUCGGACAGCAGAUCUGAUGUAGGCCAAGGUACCGUAUUAGUGACAAGGUCUGUGUGUUCUGAAUCUUCCAUAUCCCCCAUCGUGCUGUCCGCUCUAAAUCCAACCAUUACCCUGUGAUGACCAGAUGGGGGCGCUCCAAUCUACACAGGUGUUUCACAUGAAGAGCACCUGUCCUAUUCUAUCUUGUAUACGCUCGCAGGAACUCAGGCCUCUUGGAGGGAGACGAACAAAUCAACAUAGUCUU